rnacentral:rRNA from 1 species
UACGAAGGGGGUUAGCGUUGCUCGGAAUCACUGGGCGUAAAGCGCACGUAGGCGGCUUUCUAAGUCAGGGGUGAAAUCCUGGAGCUCAACUCCAGAACUGCCUUUGAUACUGGAGAGCUUGAGUCCGGAAGAGGUGAGUGGAACUCCGAGUGUAGAGGUGAAAUUCGUAGAUAUUCGGAAGAACACCAGUGGCGAAGGCGGCUCACUGGUCCGGUACUGACGCUGAGGUGCGAAAGCGUGGGGAGCAAACAGG